AGUGAACGCUGGCGGUAGGCCUAACACAUGCAAGUCGAACGGCAGCACAGUAAGAGCUUGCUCUUACGGGUGGCGAGUGGCGGACGGGUGAGGAAUACAUCGGAAUCUACUUUUUCGUGGGGGAUAACGUAGGGAAACUUACGCUAAUACCGCAUACGAACUACGGGUGAAAGCAGGGGAUCUUCGGACCUUGCGCGAUUGAAUGAGCCGAUGUCGGAUUAGCUAGUUGGCGGGGUAAAGGCCCACCAAGGCGACGAUCCGUAGCUGGUCUGAGAGGAUGAUCAGCCACACUGGAACUGAGGCACGGUCCAGACUCCUACGGGAGGCAGCAGUGGGGAAUAUUGGACAAUGGGCGCAAGCCUGAUCCAGCCAUACCGCGUGGGUGAAGAAGGCCUUCGGGUUGUAAAGCCCUUUUGUUGGGAAAGAAAAGCAGCAGGUUAAUACCCCGCUGUUCUGACGGUACCCAAAGAAUAAGCACCGGCUAACUUCGUG
rnacentral:rRNA from 1 species